rnacentral:rRNA from 1 species
GAUGAACGCUGGCGGCGUGCCUAAUACAUGCAAGUCGAGCGAACAGGCCAUGAACUUCGUCGUGCUACCUUACCGGGAGACAAGAUAGUAACACGUGGAGAACCUGCCUAUAAGACGUGGAUAACCUCCGGAAACGAGCGCGAAAACCGCAGGAUAUAGUUGACAGUAUCGUUCAAUAGUAAAUGAUGCCUAUCAAGUGUCUUAAAGAUGGAUCUGCUACGAAUUAGCGAGGGAGCAGCGUAGCAUUAGCUAGUUGGUAAGGUAACGGCCUACCAAGGCAAUGAUGCGUAGCCGACCUGAGAGACUGAUCGGCCACACUGGAACUGAGACACGGCCCAGACUCCUACGGGAGGCAGCAGUAGGGAAUCUUCCGCAAUGGACGCAAGCCUGAUGGAGCAACGCCGCGUGAGUGAUGAAGGUUUUCGGAUCGUAAAGCUCUGUUAUUAGGGAAGAACAACUGUGGUAGUAACUGUGCUCUUCUUGACGGUACCCAAUCAGAAAGCCACGGCUAACUACGUG